ensembl:lncRNA INO80D-AS1 INO80D antisense RNA 1
UCCUACAUCUGGGGACUGCUCCAGAAACCCUGCCUGAUCCUGCCCCUCUCACUGACAGUCUCCUCGCUGCUCCCUACAUCUUCCUCUCCGCCGGAGCUGUCCAGAAGGGGGAUUUUGGACCCAAAGGAAUCGGGAUGAAAGGGGAUCAGAGUGAGAGGCGCUGGCAAUGGACUAGGAAGCUCGGCUGCCGCUGCUACUGCUCCCCCCUGGGCUCCGGCGAGAGCCUUUCCCUGUCAAGCAAGAGGGGUGAGGAUCAUAUUUUUAUUUUGGAAACUAAAAAGUGCUCCCAGGGUCGGUGAUUAUUAAGGGGAAAUCCCUGAAUAUACUCUCCAGCCAAGAAGGCAGGGCUGCCGGGGCUGUACAAGAAGAGGCAGCAGCCUCCUACAGCACCACUACAGGCACUGCGAGGACAUAACACCAGAGAGCUGCUCCUCUGCCCUCCGAAACGACAACUUUCCUACCAUCUUGGAGGCAGAGCAAAGGGGGGCCAGGGGGAAAAGUGCACCCGCUCCCGAUAAAGUACAAAUUUUUACUUCUCAUCUCUGGAAAAAAGUCCACACCGGCCGUCUACACCCGCGCCUGGGGGAGAAAGCAGGGAAGAAACGGGGGGUGCAUGAGAAACGUUUUCAUUUGCUCCAGGGGGAAAAAUGUUUCUGCAUCUUCUGAUGGAAAGAAAUCUUUACAAGACACAGGUUUUCCGGUGGUUAUUGUUUUUUAUUUUCUGUUUUUAAUUUUUUUCAUGUUAGUGACAG